rnacentral:rRNA from 1 species
AUUGAACGCUAGCGGGAUGCCUCACACAUGCAAGUCGAACGCGUGGCGGCCGGGUGAGUAAUAUAUGGGAACGUGCCUAGUAGCGGGGGAUAUCUACUCGACCGUGUGGCUUAUCCCGCAUACUAUUGUAGCGCCCGCUAUCGGAUUCGCUAGUAUGUGGGGUAAAGGCUCACCAAGGCAACGAUCCGUAGCUGGUUUGAGAGUACGACCAGCCACACUGGGACUGAGACACGGCCCAGACUCCUACGGGAGGCAGCAGUGGGGAAUAUUGGACAAUGGGGGAAACCCUGAUCCAGCCAUCCCGCGUGUAUGAGAAGGCCUUCGGGUUGUAAAGUACUUUUGGCAGAGAAGCGGUAUCUGCAGAAUAAGCACCGGCUAACUACGUGCCAGCAGCCGCGGUAAUUC